UUUAGCAUGGAAUAAUGGAAUAGGACGCGCGUUCCCAUUUUGUUGGUUUCUGAGAUCGCCGUAAUGAUUAAUAGGGAUAGUUGGGGGCAUUUGUAUUCCGUCGUCAGAGGUGAAAUUCUUGGAUUGCCGGAAGACAAACUAUUGCGAAAGCAUUUGCCAAGGAUGUUUUCAUUGAUCAAGAACGAAGGAAGGGGGAUCGAAAACGAUCAGAUACCGUUGUAGUCUCUUCUGUAAACUAUGCCAAUUGGGGAUCAGCUCAGGAUUUUUAAUGACUGAGUUGGCACCCGAAGAGAAAUCUUUAAAUGAGGUUCGGGGGGGAGUAUGGUCGCAAGGCUGAAACUUAAAGGAAUUGACGGAAGGGCACCACCAGGUGUGGAGCCUGCGGCUUAAUUUGACUCAACACGGGGAAACUCACCAGGUCCAGACACAAUAAGGAUUGACAGAUUGAUAGCUCUUUCUUGAUCUUGUGGUUGGUGGUGCAUGGCCGUUCUUAGUUGGUGGAGUGAUUUGUCUGGUUAAUUCCGAUAACGAACGAGACCUUAACCUGCUAAAUAGACCAGCCGGCUUUGGCUGGCUGCUGUCUUCUUAGAGGGACUAUCAGCGUUUAGCUGAUGGAAGUUUGAGGCAAUAACAGGUCUGUGAUGCCCUUAGAUGUUCUGGGCCGCACGCGCGCUACACUGACAGAGCCAGCGAGUAAUAGCCUUUGCCGGAAGGCAUGGGUAAUCUUGUGAAACUCUGUCGUGAUGGGGAUAGGGCAUUGCAAUA
rnacentral:rRNA from 1 species